rnacentral:lncRNA from 1 species
CAUUAAAAUGUGUGUGGUCAGCCUGAGGGGACCUGGCUCCGGGCAUGAUGCUGUGAGUCGAGGUAUUCCCUGUGAAGCUUUCUGGCCAAUCAAGGCUGAAAUUCCAUGUGGCAGAAAAUCCAGGCCACAGAGGAACCAGUUAAACGAAGCCAUAGGGAACCGGACAAAUCUAGAAUGUGGACAAUUGGCCAGGUCUCCAUAACAGAUCAGUGUGCUGGGAGCGGGUUGGGGAGUGUGUGUGUGUCAGGGAGUUGAGUCUAGAUUAAAACAGCCAAAGACAUGUGACAACUGCACUCACCAUGUGAGCCGGACUUAUUGCUGACUUUCUUUUUUUUUGAAAUGACGUUUCCCUCUUAUUGCCCAGGCUGGAGUGCAGUGGCGUGAUCUCGGCUCACCGCAACCUCUGCCUCCCGGGUUCAAGCGAUUGUACUGCCUCAGCCUCCCAAGUAGCUGGGAUUACAGGCACGCGCCACCAAGCCUGGCUAAUUUUGUAUUUUUGUUUCUUUUAGUAGAGAUGGGGUGUCUCCAUGUUGGUCAGGGUGGUCUCGAACUCCUGACCUCAGGUGAUCCGCCCACCUCCGCCUCCCAAAGUGCUGGGAUUACAGGUGUGAGCUACCGUGCCCAGCCAAAAGUUUAUGUUUUUAAGAGAAAUGUGCUGAAGCACUGGGCUCGAGUGACAGUAUGGUGGUUUAUUCUGAAAGGGCUCAGCUGUGUGUGCAAGAGUGUAUGUGAGUGUGUGUGUAUGUCAGCAUAUGUGUGUGAGUAUGUAUGUGUCUGUGUGAACGUGUACGUGUGUGUAUGUGUAUGUGUGUGAGGAUGGUGUGUAUGUGUAUGUGCUGAAGUAAAUAUGACUGAACAAUAAGAAUCGUCGAUCUGGUUGUUUGGUACAUGAGUAUUCAUCUUAUUUCUUUUUCACUUUUUCUGUGCAUUUGAAAGCUUUCAUAGGAAGUCAGAAAAUGUAUCUGGUUGUUAAAACAAUAUUGUAACGUACACACACAGUCCAUUUCCAGUCCCAGAAUUGAGACAGUUAGUGCAGAGGCCACUGGCUCAGCUGUGGAAACCAGACUGCACGGUCCAUCUGCACCCAUGCUGUCUGUGAGCCCUGGGAAUGUCGCUUCCUGUCUCUGGGCCUCAGUUUCCUUCUCUAUAAAAUGGGCUGAUGCUGUUCCUGCCACAGAGGCUGGUGGGAUUCAGGCCACAUACCCCGGCACAUCAGCGUUCCGUUGUUACACAUUUGAAUACUCCCAAGCCAGUUGGUAAACAGUUGACUCUCCGGGACCCCUUGCACGUUUCCACGACUCAGCAAUCAACGUGGAGCUGAACUGGCUGUGAAGCGUUUUGAGCACUGCCCGUGUUUGUCUCACAGCCCUCACGGGAAUCCCGGUUAAUAUACUCAAUGAGCGGAGCCCUGAAAACCCCGCCUGCCACCUCGUAAGUGUUCUAUAAGCGUUUGCCAUUUUAGUAAGUCCUUGUAUUUUUAUCCAAUCUUUGUUUUAUGUUACAAAGAUAGAUGGAAGGUUAACGUUGAAGUAAUUAACUUCUUAAUGGAAGUGUAGAAUUACAAAGUAAUUGAAAAGAAGAAUAGAUGAGAUCUGUGAGAGUUUCUUGUCUUUCUGCCUCAUGCUAAAAUGUAAGCUCUUGUUGUAAACGAAAGCCUGCGUGCAAAUGGUUUGCAGGCUGAUUAGCGAAUCUGGGGCACGGAGCUAUCCAGGAGCUCUCACUGUAGAUUUAACAUCCACGCAUUUUAUGUAGCUUCUUGAUGCUGAUGUUGGUAAGAGACGCUAAAUUGUCAUGGGCAUUAUGUGGAAAACCCGUAGAUGAUUUCUGGAGCACAAAAGCCUGACCUGGAAUUGGGGCAGAGCUGGGGAAGGUAGGGGGAAUGAUUCAUUUUUGCAGCAAGGGGGAUGUGGGGGGCUCAGGCCAGGGCAGGGUGGGGCUGCUGGAAACAAGAUAAAGAGAAGGACAUAGAUAUAAUGGCAAGGACUCCUUAGCUGUGGGCUAAUCGGUGAGCUCAAUUAUGUCGGGCAAGUUUAAAGAAUUUAAACAUUAAACCAUAUGUUCCAUACAUAAAAUAAUUUUUGAGGGCCAGGGAACUUCCAGCCAGACACCGACCUCGGGUUGUUCAUCACCAUAGUGGCUGGUGGGGUACCAUUCACGUGGGAGGUCGGAGGAGUGAGCAAGCGGGUUAGGCU